GACGAACGCUGGCGGCGUGCUUAACACAUGCAAGUCGAACGGAAAGGCCCUGCUUUUGUGGGGUGCUCGAGUGGCGAACGGGUGAGUAACACGUGAGUAACCUGCCCUUGACUUUGGGAUAACUUCAGGAAACUGGGGCUAAUACCGGAUAGGAGCUCCUGCUGCAUGGUGGGGGUUGGAAAGUUUCGGCGGUUGGGGAUGGACUCGCGGCUUAUCAGCUUGUUGGUGGGGUAGUGGCUUACCAAGGCUUUGACGGGUAGCCGGCCUGAGAGGGUGACCGGCCACAUUGGGACUGAGAUACGGCCCAGACUCCUACGGGAGGCAGCAGUGGGGAAUAUUGCACAAUGGGCGGAAGCCUGAUGCAGCAACGCCGCGUGCGGGAUGACGGCCUUCGGGUUGUAAACCGCUUUCGCCUGUGACGAAGCGUGAGUGACGGUAAUGGGUAAAGAAGCACCGGCUAACUACGUGCCAGCAGCCGCGGUGAUACGUAGGGUGCGAGCGUUGUCCGGAUUUAUUGGGCGUAAAGGGCUCGUAGGUGGUUGAUCGCGUCGGAAGUGUAAUCUUGGGGCUUAACCCUGAGCGUGCUUUCGAUACGGGUUGACUUGAGGAAGGUAGGGGAGAAUGGAAUUCCUGGUGGAGCGGUGGAAUGCGCAGAUAUCAGGAGGAACACCAGUGGCGAAGGCGGUUCUCUGGGCCUUUCCUGACGCUGAGGAGCGAAAGCGUGGGGAGCGAACAGGCUUAGAUACCCUGGUAGUCCACGCUGUAAACGGUGGGUACUAGGUGUGGGGUCCAUUCCACGGGUUCCGUGCCGUAGCUAACGCUUUAAGUACCCCGCCUGGGGAGUACGGCCGCAAGGCUAAAACUCAAAGGAAUUGACGGGGCCCCGCACAAGCGGCGGAGCAUGCGGAUUAAUUCGAUGCAACGCGUAGAACCUUACCUGGGUUUGACAUGGAUCGGAGGCGCUCAGAGAUGGGUGUGCCUCUUUUGGGGUCGGUUCACAGGUGGUGCAUGGCUGUCGUCAGCUCGUGUCGUGAGAUGUUGGGUUAAGUCCCGCAACGAGCGCAACCCUCGUUCACUGUUGCCAGCACGUUAUGGUGGGGACUCAGUGGAGACCGCCGGGGUCAACUCGGAGGAAGGUGGGGAUGACGUCAAGUCAUCAUGCCCCUUAUGUCCAGGGCUUCACGCAUGCUACAAUGGCUGGUACAGAGAGUGGCGAGCCUGUGAGGGUGAGCGAAUCUCGGAAAGCCGGUCUCAGUUCGGAUUGGGGUCUGCAACUCGACCUCAUGAAGUCGGAGUCGCUAGUAAUCGCAGAUCAGCAACGCUGCGGUGAAUACGUUCCCGGG
rnacentral:rRNA from 1 species